rnacentral:rRNA from 1 species
GAACCGUACCCCAAACCGACACAGGUGGUUGGGUAGAGAAUACCAAGGCGCUUGAGAGAACUCGGGUGAAGGAACUAGGCAAAAUGGCACCGUAACUUCGGGAGAAGGUGCGCCGGUGAGGGUGAAGGACUUGCUCCGUAAGCCCACGCCGGUCGAAGAUACCAGGCCGCUGCGACUGUUUAUUAAAAACACAGCACUCUGCAAACACGAAAGUGGACGUAUAGGGUGUGACGCCUGCCCGGUGCCGGAAGGUUAAUUGAUGG